CUUAGCCUCGAGGCACUCCUCGGCGGACAGGGAGCGGGUCGCGAUUACCCAGUCUGCCCCCUGCAGGACGCACCAACCAUGGGCCGACGCACCCCUAAACCCACGGCUGGAAAUACUACCCAAGGUAGGGACAUAGGGGAAAUGCUGCUCCGAUCAGCGCAGACCGCGCCAGCAUAUGAGGAUUUCCCGCCAAACAUGGCCCCCGUCCCGGAGAGAGAGGGAGAGGAGAC